GACGAACGCUGGCGGCGUGCCUAAUACAUGCAAGUUGAGCGAUGAAGAUUGGUGCUUGCACCAAUUUGAAGAGCAGCGAACGGGUGAGUAACGCGUGGGGAGUCUGCCUUUGAGCGGGGGACAACAUUUGGAAACGAAUGCUAAUACCGCAUAACAACUUUAAACAUAAGUUUUAAGUUUGAAAGAUGCAAUUGCACCACUCAAAGAUGAUCCCGCGUUGUAUUAGCUAGUUGGUGAGGUAAAGGCUCACCAAGGCGAUGAUACAUAGCCGACCUGAGAGGGUGAUCGGCCACAUUGGGACUGAGACACGGCCCAAACUCCUACGGGAGGCAGCAGUAGGGAAUCUUCGGCAAUGGACGAAAGUCUGACCGAGCAACGCCGCGUGAGUGAAGAAGGUUUUCGGAUCGUAAAACUCUGUUGGUAGAGAAGAACGUUGGUGAGAGUGGAAAGCUCAUCAAGUGACGGUAACUACCCAGAAAGGGACGGCUAACUACGUG
rnacentral:rRNA from 1 species